AACGAACGCUGGCGGCGUGGAUAAGACAUGCAAGUCGAACGCUGAUUCCGGAGUAGCAAUAUUCUGGAGUCGGAGUGGCGCAAGGGUGCGUAACACGUGGGUAAUCUGCCGCGAAGUCUGGAAUAACUUGCUGAGAGGCGAGCUAAUACCGGAUGUGACUGUCAUUAGGCAUCUUAUGACAUUCAAAGUUGGGACGGCAAGGACCUGACACUUCGCGAUGAGCCCGCCGGCC
rnacentral:rRNA from 1 species